GUGCGUAGACAGCAAGAAAAAUUGUGUAACGGUUGCGGUUGGACAAUACCGAUUCAAAAUAGGUUAUCGCUAUGGUGCUCGGAUAUCGCAUGCAAUAACCUUGGGCCAAUUAUCGCUGCAGGGCAUAGUAUAGUUGGGGUGGGUGCAAGCAAGCUCGAGGUAGGGAACAGCUGAGCUGAGCUGCCGUAAGUGCUGUGCAGCGCAUCGCAACGGAGCUUUCGAAGCCGAGCUUUAAGAUCGGUAAGCUCGUAUUUAAGCAGUGCAAAAGCACCAGAACGUUCUCUUUUGAAAAUUUGAAUCUGUGCAGCCGGUGGCUAUCGCCGCUUCGGGGAAAAAAAUAUAUAACUAAAUCGACCACGUGUAAUCCCAAAAGAAAAGAAAAGUAAGAAAGUACAACCCGAAUAAGUGCCACAAAGACAAUCCGAAAAUAAAUAAAACGGAACGGGGAAAGUCCCACCCGGUGGGCGCGCCGCAAAAAUCGGGCGACAAUUAAUAACCGUGCGCCGAGAAAACUGGCAAGUGUUGUUCUUGGUGCAAACCCGUGCGUCCCACAACUCGGCCAGGAGAACCCAACACUCGUGUCUCCGUGGAAAAGCCCGGAAAAACCGGGCCCUGGCCCCGAGCGGUAGCCACCCGGCUCUCCCAAAGUUCUGCCCACACCCACACCAAACUCCCACCCUUGACGGGAGUACUCUUCGGAGUCGACCUUGGUGUGGGGCCGAAUUUUUGUUCCCUUUUGGAGUCGUUGAAGCAUCCACCUGCCCGGCGACAUAACCUCCACCGGCCCUAACCCUUGCGCCAUAUCUAACGUACGCGCAUCGAGGGCAUAGAGGGCAUAGAGAUUACCCCCCCUACCUAUGCGCCGCUAACUCGCUGUCUGCGACGGCCUAGAAGACGCCGCCACGGAUCCGGACCGAGAUUUUGUAGCAUAGUGUAGUUUUAAUUGUAAUUUUUCUUGUUCUUUAAGCACUUAUAUUCUUUAACUCUGAGGUACAGUCCUACCUCGCUAGGCGUGAAUGUGCCAGUUCCCAAAACGGAAUUUAUUUUUGCGGGUUGGAGACCGAACGAUUUAAUCAUGAAAUAACAGACAAAAAAAAACCCCUUUUCAUACCCCCCCUAUUUCCCAAUCCCCCUCCGAUUUGGGCACACACUAACAGGGUCUCCACAGCUCCACAACGAAAGGCGCCUUUCAGCGAGGGACCACUGUAUGCAAGCCGUAAGUGACCCAAUUUUAAUUUUCUCCUUUGCGCUUGUAUUCGUGCAAAUCUCAAACGCAUGCGCAGCGGCCAGCCGCUGCUGAUAAGAGAGCGCAACGCUUGCGUUUCACACGCUCGAAGCUUUUCGGUCUCUUCGGUGCCAAUGCUGCUAAGCUUGCAUUGCUCGCAUUCCCUGCAUUCUUUUAAUGCAUGGAAACGUAGCCAAGCAAUACACUAACCAACAUAGAAAAAAAAAUCUCCUCAACCCAGAAAAACAAAAAUUAAAUAAAUUUAUAAUGUUAAAUUAAAUUUCGUUUUGGCUCGCCAUUGCUGAUCGCUGGUAUGACCCCUGCUGCUAUUGAAUAAUUUUUUUAUUUUAUUUUUUUUCCUUUAUACAAACCUAAUUUACUUAAUUCUAAAAUCUUAUAUUAUAUUCAUAUAUUAUCUCAUUAUACUCCCCCAUUUAUAUAUACCUAUAUCUAUAAGAAUUUUUUUUUGAUUAAGCCUCCUCUUAUUUUUUUUUCAUUCCAUUAAAAUUUUUUUUGAGUUGCCUGCUGGUUGUAGUGCAAGACUUGUGUUAUGUUAAGAAGUGAACCGUGGUUUGUUAGUUUUGAUUGAAGCAACAUGUCGAUGAUGAAGUACCACGAAAUAUAGUGAAUUGUAUUAGCAAUGAACCUGGAGUAGACUUAUAUUUUCCUAGGGACAGGGUGACCUAAUGGGGUAGGGUAAGAAUAGUAGGGAUUUCCAGAACCUUCGCACCCCUGGAAAUCAUGGAAGGGUGGGUAUAGAAUCGUGUGGGUCGACUUCCAUCGCAAGACCUCACGCCCGCGAGAGUUUGGAACACGCCGAC